rnacentral:tRNA from 2 species
GCCGGAGUAGCUCAGCUGGUAGAGCACGUCAUUCGUAAUGAUGGGGUCGCAGGUUCAACUCCUGUCUCCGGCACCA